AAGCUGAAUGCAUUGUUAAGGUUAAAAAAAAAAGUAUUUUCAGUUUUUUUACCAUGUUGCUAUGGUGAUGCUAUGAUGUUCUGGAUGGUUGCUGCUAGGUUGUUAUUUACUAACCCAGCUCAAAUCAGACAUAUUUGUACAGUAUUGUUCAAGCUAAGUGUAACAGAGUUAUUUUGGUAAUAUUAUUUUCACUCAAAAUCCUUUUUUCUAUUGAGUAUAACUUUAAUUUACUUCAUUUGAUAUUAUUAUAUAUUAUUUUAUCGUUUUGAGUUCAUGCUUGUAUGUGACUUUCAGGACCUGUUCAAGUGUACUGUCACUUUAAGAGUGUAUACUCGUUUGUGUGCGCGCUCAUCGCUCUCUCAGUUCACUUCCUUCUGAGCUGAGAGAAGGUUGUCUCGUGGUUAAUGGAGACAUUAAACGGUAAUAUUAUUGACGGUUGAUUGUAUAUUUUAAAUCUAAAAUGUUUGUUGCUUCGCUAAACAUACUCUGUGAUGUGGAAAUAUGAAACUGUGGUUCUAAAUGGUUGUGAUUGAGAUCGUUUGCAUUUGUGAGUGAGAUUAGCACAUAUUAGCAUGCUGUAAUUACUCCUCGUGUGCCAACAGGUUGUUUAAUGAAGAUCAUAAUCACAGAAUGCAUGUUUUCAACACAUUUUCUAUUUGUGCAGGUAUGUUUUUGUAUUGUUGGUAGUUUUUGUGAUUUCAUGUCAUUAAUAUUAAUUUAGUCUUAUGUUAAGCAGAUUAGUUUAAUACAUGUUCUUUCAAGAAAUCGCUAUCGCAGUUCACUUCCUUCUGAGCUGAGAGAAGGUUGUCUCGUGGUUAAUGGAGACAUUAAACGGUUGUUUAAUGAAGAUCAUAAUCACAGAAUGCAUGUUUUCAACACAUUUUCUAUUUGUGCAGAAAAUAAAGACAGUGCCAAGCGGUAAGAGGUUUGGAGUCCUUUAUUGAAAAACAACAACACAACGCAGAACGGAUUCCACUCGUGUGGGACCCGUUACAAUGGUGCCGUGACCUUUUAAGGAUCCAUCUGAAGACCGACGUCUGCUCGCUCGCCGUGGAAGCUGCAUGGACUGGUUUUAGGUACUUUUCAAAGACAAAAGGACUAUUUUAUAUAAAGUGAGGUGGACUAUAUACAUUUUUUUUCUCUCACAGAAGACAUUUUCGAACUGAUUUCAGACUCUUAAAAUAUACAUUUGCUGACUGGUUACUGUUAUUGAUUGCCAUUGUUCAGUACAAUAUUUCAGUUCAUUUAUUGAUUUAAAUUUGAAGAUAAUUAAUUGGUACAAUACAGCAAUAUGGCAGAAGGCGUUAAUAGCUUUGCUGAAGAGAUGAAGGACAAUGAGGUGUUUGACCAAAGUAUCCAGUUUGGUAGGGGAAGGGGUUUUUUCAGAAUACCUUCUGAACCUAGGAUGCCAGGGCCUACUAGCAGAGCAUUUGAUACACCUGUUCUGACUUCUACAAGAUAUGUUGAUCGUGCCAUGCCAUCUCCAAUUAACCAAAAUUCAGAUUUGAGUUCACUCAUCAGUGAAAUAGCUGAAAAAGUAGGACAGUCUAUUACUGCUCAGCUACGUUCUGAUAACAGUACAAACCGUAGUAAUUCUGAACAGCCAGCUGAGAUGACACUGUCUAAUGUCAAACUAGUGAUGCAGUCAGAUGUAAAAGAGCCACCAAUAUUUAGGGGCGAUGGUUCAGAUAAAUUAACUGUACAAGAGUGGGAAAAUAUUAUGUCCCUGUACCUGAGAAAACGUGCUAUUCCGACUGAUGAGCAGUCACAAGAAAUAUUGGAUAGGCUAAUGGGGAAAGCAGGUGAUGUAGUGAAAAUUAAAUUGCGUAAUAACACAUCUGCUGACUGCACCAGUAAACCUCGCUUGAUCUUUGACAUUUUAAAACAGCAUUUCAGCACCAUCUCCUAUUCUAGUAUGCCCCUAGCCGAUUUUUACAAUACUUUACCGAUGCCAUCUGAAGAUGCAAUGGAGUAUUGGAUCAGGCUGAACAAGACAAUGGAUGUUGCCAAGGAAUGCCUGGAGAGACAAGGUCGGCGCGUUUGUGAUCCAAGUCAUGAAAUCAGCAUGAUGUUUAUCAAGCACUGCCCAGAUAAGUCUCUUUCUAAUGUCUUCAAAUUCAAAUCAGCAGAGAAAUGGUCAGCUGGUGAGAUACAGGAGAGACUUGAUGAACAUAUGCAAGAGAGGAAAGCUAGGACCUUCACUAAUUUACACAGUUUGAAUAUAACUGAACAUAGAGCUUGCACUCAGAGUCCUGAUGUUGUUGAGACAGUUGCUUCUAACUCUCCUUUGUCCAUUCCACCUUCUCCUAUGGUGCAGUCUGGCAGUGACAGUGCUUGCAUGAAAAGUCUAGUGAGUCUAUUGGACCGUCUUGUCACUCAACAGACCCAAUUUCAAGUUAGCCCACAUCAUCAAGCUACAACAUUUCAGACUUACCGCAAACCAUGCAGGGUUUGUAGAUCUUUGGAUCAUUCAACGGUGUCACAUUGUAGACAGGAUAACAGAUGUCUGAAGUGUUUAACUCCUGGACACUGGAAAAAGGACUGCCCUCAGCGAGCUGAUCGUAACCAGCAUCAAUUGGAAAGUGGGGCUGGCAGACCACCUAACCAGUUAAACUAUUGAACCCGCAUUAUGGAAGGGGUGAUGUGGGUAUGGAUACUAAAUACCUUCAUGAAGAAUGCGAUCUUGCCCAGCUCUAUGAGAAAAACUGUAAUAGUGCUCCUAGAGGGACCAAGAUAGUUGUACAAUCUAGUCAGAAAGUCGAAGCCUUCAGUAGCCUUUUCUAUGUUCCUGUUCGUGUCAAUGGCCACGUUAUUCUUAACGGAAUGAUUGAUUCCGGUUCUAUGGCAUGCACAAUCAGUAAACAUGCUGUGGAGAAAAUUAGUUCUGCAGGCAUUUUGCCUGAAAAAAAGCAUUCAGAAGAAAAGAUUGUCUUGAUCGGCUGUGGAGGUCAGCAAACCCAGCCUGAUGGUUUCUAUGAUUUGGAGAUCCAGUUCUUUGACACUCGGUGUGUUGCACCUUGCUUGGUCGUGCCUGGCCAGCGUGAUGAUCUUAUUCUGGGCUCUAAUAUCAUUAAACACUUAAUUCAUGAGCUGAAGAACAACAAUGAUUAUUGGGACAUUGCUUCUAGACCUGACAAUAAGUUUGAUGAAGACGUUCAGCAGUUCUUGUCAAUGUUUACGGGUGUUGAGCGUUGGAAAGGAGACACUGUUCCUGACAAAAUAGGCACUGUCAAACUCACUCAAGCGGUGGUACUUUUACCAAAGCAUGAACAUUUGGUCUGGGGCCGUUUGCCAUCUAAUGUGCCCAUGUCGCCAGGCAGCACAGUGAUCGUUGAGCCGACCAAUUCAAAAGCUAUGCCUCGAGACAUUCUAGUUGGUCGUCUUGUUGUACCACUUUGGGGUGACAGGUGGGUGCCUAUGACAGUUAUGAAUCCGACAAAUAAAGUGAUCACAUUGAAGAGGAACAGCAAAAUGGCUGAUGUGUUUCCAUGUAUUGCAUCUGAAGAUUUUGAGAUUUUUCAGGGACUGCACAUUACUCUAGUGGAAAACAAGUCAGAUGAUUCAUGUAAUUCCUGUGCAGCUGACCACAUUGACAAAAAUCUGCUGAACCUGGGUCUUGAGGAAAUUGACGUCAACUGGAGUCAGAUAAGUGAUGAUUGUAAAUCUCAACUUACCCAGUUACUAGCUGAUUACCAAGACAUCUUCUCCAAGCAUCCAUUGGACUGUGGUGAAGCCACUGGAUAUGUGCACCGAAUACGACUGACGGAUAAUCGACCCUUUCGAUUGCCUUAUAGGCGAGUACCUCCUGCCCACUAUGAAAAAUUAAGGCAAGUUCUCACUGACAUGGAAGAAAAAGGUAUCAUCAGGAAGUCUUCAAGUGAGUACGCAUCACCAUUAGUGAUGGUGUGGAAAAAGGAUGGUGGAUUGCGUAUUUGCACAGACUUCAGGUGGUUAAAUGCCAGAACUAUGAAAGACGCACACCCCUUGCCUCACCAGGCUGACUGUCUGGCUGCGCUUGGAGGAAACUGCUUCUUCAGCACUAUGGACCUCACGUCAGGGUUUUAUAAUAUUCCAAUGAGUGAGGAGGACAAAAAAUAUACGGCUUUUACUACACCGCUAGGCCUUCAUGAAUAUAAUCGAAUGCCUCAGGGGCUUUGUAAUAGUCCAGCCUCCUUCAUGAGAAUGAUGCUUGGGAUCUUCGGAGACUUGAACUUUUCAAAGCUUCUAUGUUACCUUGAUGAUCUCCUUGUUUUUGCACCAUCUGAAAGUGAGGCUCUGUCCAGGCUGCGUACAGUGUUUGAUAGACUGAGGGAGAACAAUCUGAAACUUUCACCUAAAAAAUGUCAUCUACUUCAAAGUCAAGUAAGAUUCCUUGGCCAUAUCAUUGACAGUGGAGGUGUGUCAGUUGAUCCAGCAAAAGUGGAGGUCAUCACAAGGAUGACUGCUCAUGAUCUGAUGGAUAAUGAUGGCUGCACACCGUCUGUCAAAAGGAUUAAGUCUUUUCUUGGCAUGGUAUUUUAUUACCAACACUUUAUUCCAAACUGCUCAUCUAUCUCUAAACCUCUUUUCGGCCUUACAGCUGGACAGAAAAGAAGAGGAAAAUUGUCUAAGGAAAGGAAGUUUCAAGGCACUUACCGUAAACUUACCCCUGCAGAUUGGACUACAGAGUGCCAGGUCGCUUUUGACAAACUUAAGACUGCUUUACUGGAGUGUGUCAUGCUUGCACAUCCUGACUUCAAUGAGCCCUUCAUUCUUUCUGUUGAUGCUUCAUUGGACGGGCUAGGGGCUGUAUUGUCCCAAGUGCCAAAAGGUGAACUACAAGCCAGACCCAUUGCUUUUGCAAGCAAGACCCUCAGUACAUCGCAGCGCAGAUAUCCUGCUCAUAGACUAGAAUUUAUGGCUCUGAAGUGGAGUGUAUGUGAGAAGUUCAGCCAUUGGCUGAAAGGCCACAAAUUUACCAUCUGGACGGAUAAUAACCCUCUCACAUAUAUUCUGACUAAGCCAAAACUUGAUGCUUAUGAGUUGAGAUGGGUUUCCAAACUGGCGGCAUACACUUUUGACCUGAAACAUUUGCCCGGAAAAGCUAAUGUUGUGGCGGACACCUUGAGUCGCGACCCUUUUGUUGAGCCAAUUGGACGGAGACUGUUGAAUGAGCCGUAUUCUUACUUGAUGCAGGAGGCCAGUGGGAUAGGCGAAGAUUCCGUUCACGAUGUUUUCAGGGUCAGUAGCCAUAUUCAGCCAAAUCAGCCCAUGGAGUGUCUUUCGCAAAGUGUUGACUACAACGUGGAUGAAGUCAAAGCUCUUUGUCAGUCACACUGCAGUUGGACAGACGGAGCAGAGUCAAGAGCCCUUCAUUUAGUCCAUCAUGUUCAGAUGAUAUCGGGUUGUCAGGAGACUUUACCAGUGCUCUCUGCCCAGGAGCUCAAGGACAGUCAACAGGAAGAUCUGACUAUAUCCAAGGUGUUGUCAUUCUUGAUUAGACAGAGACGUCCAUCAAGAAGAGAAAGGCAUGGUGCAAGUGCUCAAGUAAUAAGACUGUUGAAGCAGUGGAGUAAGUUGGAAGUUAGAGAUGAUGUGUUAUAUAGAGUGACGAAAGACCCUUUGACUAAGAGGAAAAGAUUACAGUAUGUACUGCCUGAUAGUCUGAGGAACAAAGCUCUGUCUGGUAUCCAUGAUCUCGCAGGCCACCAAGGGCAGGACCGUACUAUUUCACUUGCAAGACAACGCUUUUAUUGGCCUGAUAUGGAAAAGAAUAUCAGAGAAUAUGUUCAAUGCUGUCGAAGGUGUGUCCUUGCAAAGUCACCAGAACCUGCUGCUCGUGCCCCUUUGGAGAAUAUCAAGAGCACAGCCCCGAUGGAGUUGGUGUGCAUAGAUUUUUGGUCAGCAGAAAAUAGCAAACAAUGUUCGGUGGAUGUCCUCGUAGUUACUGACCACUUCACCAAGCUUGCUCAUGCAUUCCCUUGCGCUAAUCAAACAGCAAAGCAAGUUGCAAAAAAGCUUUGGGACAAUGUGUUUUGCAUCUACGGGUUUCCAGAACGCAUACACUCUGACCAGGGCACAAAUUUUGAGAGUAACCUCAUAGCAGAGCUUCUUCGUCUGGCUGGUGUCGCAAAAUCUCACACAACAGCUUACCACCCAAUGGGCAAUGGUGGCACGGAGCGCUUCAACAGAACCUUGGGUAAUUUGCUUCGAUCGCUCCCUUUAAAAGAGAAAUGUCAAUGGCCACAACAGAUCCAAACUCUCACAUUUGCUUACAAUGCAACUAUUCACGAAACUACAGGUUAUGCACCUUUCUUUUUGAUGUUUGGCCGCAUACCCAGACUUCCGGUUGACAUCAUGUUCAAUCAAGUACUCGAUAACCCCGACAUUGCUGAUUACGACUCUUAUGUCAAGUCUUUACUGUGCUGCUUGAAAAAUGCUAUGGAUAUCGCUCAAAAGCAUUCCUCUGUCGAGCAAAGACAUCAGGCUAAUCAGUACAACAAGCGUGUUAGAGGAACUCACUUGUCGGUGGGGGAUAGAGUAUUGGUGGCUAAUAAAUCAGAAAGAGGCAAAAGGAAGUUGGCCGACAAAUGGGAAGACGGAGUGUUUACUGUUGUUGAAGUGAAUCCUGACAUUCAUGUUUAUAGGAUAAGGGAUGCAUCAGGCCGCACUAAAGUUGUGCAUAGGAAUCUUUUACUGGAAGUGAAUUUCUUGCCAAUUGUUGGAAUUGAUAAAGAGCAAAGUACCAGUGAAAAUAAUCAGCCACUGAUCAUUGUGGAGUCUGAUCAGAAUGGAGCAGAUCAGGACUCAAGCGAAGACUUGUCUGCUGUUUCGUUCACUGAGAGCUCAAUUCAAUCUUCCUCUGACUAUCCUUACCCACUUCCUGUUUGUGAAUCAGACCGCAACCCUGUGGUUCAUGUGACUUUACCUGUAGAUUUAGAAAACUCUCAUGAUUUGGAUGAGGUAGACACAGUGGAUGCAGAUAUCCAUCAAUCUCCUGGUGCUGCCAAUGAGUUGCCUACAAAUGAGAAACAUGAACAAGAUUCAAAUGAAAUUGCACAAUACUUACCUGGCUCUCCUGACUUACUGUGCAGUGAUCCAUCGUUGAGAGGUGCUGAAAAUGCUGAUCUUGUCAAGCCUGUUAGAACGAGAGUUGGAAGGAUAGUUAAAUCUGUAAACAGAUUGAUUGAAUCUAUGGUGCAGAUGCCAGUUUCAAAAGUUCAAGUUGUUUAAAUUGAGAAUUCAUUUUGAAGUCUUAAUAAUUUAAUGUACUGACAUUGUUUGUGACAAGUCAAGUUUAAUAGAGCCAAGUGCUGUGUGGUGUAUUAGGCAUCACAUUAACUUAAAGGGAAUUUGAGACUUGAUCAACCUCUUGUUUUCCUUAACCUUGAAAUUGAGGUAACUUUUAUGUUGGUUUCGUGAAUUAGAUUUGCGAGUCACUUGUGCUAGUAUCGUGUUCACUGGGAAUGUCUUUUUGGUACAUUGAAAGAUUUUGAUGAAAAUAAGGAGGGGUGAAUGUAACAGAGUUAUUUUGGUAAUAUUAUUUUCACUCAAAAUCCUUUUUUCUAUUGAGUAUAACUUUAAUUUACUUCAUUUGAUAUUAUUAUAUAUUAUUUUAUCGUUUUGAGUUCAUGCUUGUAUGUGACUUUCAGGACCUGUUCAAGUGUACUGUCACUUUAAGAGUGUAUACUCGUUUGUGUGCGCGCUCAUCGCUCUCUCAGUUCACUUCCUUCUGAGCUGAGAGAAGGUUGUCUCGUGGUUAAUGGAGACAUUAAACGGUAAUAUUAUUGACGGUUGAUUGUAUAUUUUAAAUCUAAAAUGUUUGUUGCUUCGCUAAACAUACUCUGUGAUGUGGAAAUAUGAAACUGUGGUUCUAAAUGGUUGUGAUUGAGAUCGUUUGCAUUUGUGAGUGAGAUUAGCACAUAUUAGCAUGCUGUAAUUACUCCUCGUGUGCCAACAGGUUGUUUAAUGAAGAUCAUAAUCACAGAAUGCAUGUUUUCAACACAUUUUCUAUUUGUGCAGAAAAUAAAGACAGUGCCAAGCGGUAAGAGGUUUGGAGUCCUUUAUUGAAAAACAACAACACAACGCAGAACGGAUUCCACUCGUGUGGGACCCGUUACAUAAGCCACUUCAGCAUUUUUUUUUCACCUGAAAAUGAUUUAAAGAGUGUUUACUAUGAGAGUAAGAUGUUUAAAAAAGCACUUGUCAAACACGCCCUCUAUUGUUCUAAAAAAAAGUCGUCCUACCCCGGACUUAUGCCAUUGGUUAAGUGUGAAGUUGAAAUGUUGGGCCGCUGAAGCAAACAGAGCAAUGUUUGACAGCGUCAGCGUGUUUACCAUCCUCGGGAAGUCAGUCUUCUGGGUUUUAACAUCGACAAAAUUACACACUUCACCUUUAAAUCCUGUUCUUGGCAGAGAAGAUGUGAAUGCAGGUCUGGACGUGGGAAGCUGCUGCUUGUAUGUUGCCCAUAUGACAUGUGCGGUUUCUC